rnacentral:sRNA from 1 species
AGUAACAGUAAGGAGAAGGAGAGUGAAGGAACUUGCACGCAGUGACUUCUACCUUCUCAUUAAAGUCAAGAGAGAAUCUCAACUGCAGAUAUCUGCUUAAGAUCUGCAACUAUGUGGGACCAGCAAAGGUUAUUGUUCAGUUGGUCACAAAUGGAAAAAAUACCCACCUGCAUGCCCACAGCCUGGUGGGAAAACACUGUGAGGAUGGGAUCUGCACUGUAACUGCUGGACCCAAGGACAUGGUGGUCGGCUUUGCAAAUCUGGGUAUACUUCAUGUGACAAAGAAAAAAGUAUUUGAAACACUGGAAGCACGAAUGACAGAGGCGUGUAUAAGGGGCUAUAAUCCUGGACUCUUGGUGCACCCUGACCUUGCCUAUUUGCAAGCAGAAGGUGGAGGGGACCGGCAGCUGGGAGAUCGGGAAAAAGAGCUAAUCCGCCAAGCAGCUCUGCAGCAGACCAAGGAGAUGGACCUCAGCGUGGUGCGGCUCAUGUUUACAGCUUUUCUUCCGGAUAGCACUGGCAGCUUCACAAGGCGCCUGGAACCCGUGGUAUCAGAUGCCAUCUAUGACAGUAAAGCCCCCAAUGCAUCCAACUUGAAAAUUGUAAGAAUGGACAGGACAGCUGGAU